rnacentral:rRNA from 1 species
CAGCACGCGGGAAUACAGAGGGUGCAAGCGUUAAUCGGAUUUACUGGGCGUAAAGGGCGCGUAGGUGGUUAUUUAAGUGAGAUGUGAAAGCCCCGGGCUUAACCUGGGAACUGCAUCUUAUACUGGUUAACUGGAGUGCAGUAGAGGGUAGUGGAAUUUCCGGUGCAGCGGUGAAAUGCGUAGAUAUCGGAAGGAACACCAGUGGCGAAGGCGGCUACCUGGACUGAGACUGACACUGAGGCGCGAGAGCGUGGGGAGCAAACAGGAGUAGAUACCCCGGUAGUCCCUGUCUCUUAUACAC